rnacentral:rRNA from 1 species
UACGAAGGUCCCAAGCGUUGUUCGGAAUCACUGGGCGUAAAGGGAGCGUAGGCGGCGUGGUAAGUCAGAUGUGAAAUCCCGGGGCUCAACCCCGGAACUGCAUCCGAUACUGCCAUGCUUGAGGGUUGGAGAGGUAGCUGGAAUUCUCGGUGUAGCAGUGAAAUGCGUAGAUAUCGAGAGGAACACCAGUGGCGAAGGCGAGUCCCUGGACAACACCUGACACUGAGGCACGAAAGCUAGGGGAGCAAACAGG